GCCUGGGUGGCUCAGUGGUUGAGCAUCUGCCUUUGGUUCAGGACAUGAAUCCUGAGGUCCUGGGAUCGAGUCCCACAUCAGGCU
rnacentral:tRNA from 1 species